GGGCGAUUAACUCAGAUGGUAGAGUGGCUGCCUGUUAAGCAGUGUGUCACUGAUUCGAAUCCAGUAUCGUCCGCCA
rnacentral:tRNA from 1 species